rnacentral:rRNA from 1 species
CCUACGGGAGGCAGCAGUGGGGAAUUUUCCGCAAUGGGCGAAAGCCUGACGGAGCAACGCCGCGUGAGGGAUGAAGGCCUCUGGGCUGUAAACCUCUUUUAUCAAGGAAGAAGAUCUGACGGUACUUGAUGAAUAAGCCACGGCUAAUUCCGUGCCAGCAGCCGCGGUAAUACGGGAGUGGCAAGCGUUAUCCGGAAUUAUUGGGCGUAAAGCGUCCGCAGGCGGUCUUGUAAGUCUGUCGUUAAAGCGUGGAGCUCAACUCCAUUUCGGCGGUGGAAACUACAAGACUAUAGUGUGGUAGGGGCAGAGGGAAUUCCCGGUGUAGCGGUGAAAUGCGUAGAUAUCGGGAAGAACACCAGUGGCGAAGGCGCUCUGCUGGGCCAUAACUGACGCUCAUGGACGAAAGCUAGGGGAGCGAAAGGGAUUAGAUACCCCUGUAGUCCUAGCCGUAAACGAAUGAACACUAGGUGUCGGGGGAAGUCGACCCCUCCGUGUCGUAGCUACGACGUAAGUAGUUCCGUCCUCGGGGUAGGUACGGACGACGACGACGUAGUAGUAAGUAACAAAUAAAGAAGUAGUAGGACGUGUGAGUUAGCGACGACGACACAGGAGGAGGAG